GUGCUCGAUUCGGCAGCACAUAUACUAAAGUUGGAACGAUACAGAGAAGAUUAGCUCGGCCCCUGAGCAAGGAUGACAGGCAAAUUCGUGAAGAUUCCAUAUUUUUU
ensembl:snRNA LOC120100154 U6 spliceosomal RNA